AUCCGCCCCUCCCUCUGCCCGAGGGGCGACCCGCCCUCCCGAGGGCCUGGGCUGCGGGUCCUCCGCCGGCGGGGCCGUGGGGCGUCCCGCUUCGGGGCCUGGGACGAGCCGUCACCGCGGGCAGCGCCGGGCUUGGGCGGACAUCGCGGCGCGUGUGCACGGCCCGUGGGUGUGACCACACGUGGGUGUGACCACACGGGCUCGGCGGGACCGUUCCUUCUGCAUCGGGUGCUGAGUCUGAAGCCCCGGCAGAGCCUUCCACUCGCCCUCCUGCUCGGCCAGGCUGUUGAAAAGCUGCUUCACCCUGCGCUUCCUCUCGGCGUCCCUGAGA